rnacentral:rRNA from 1 species
AACGAACGCUGGCGGCAUGCCUAACACACGCAAGUCGAACGAACCCUUCGGGGUGAGUGGCGCACGGGUGCGUAACGCGUGGGAACCUGCCCUUAGGUUCGGAAUAACACAGAGAAAUUUGUGCUAAUACCGGAUAAUGUCUUCGGACCAAAGAUUUAUCGCCUUUGGAUGGGCCCGCGUAGGAUUAGCUAGUUGGUGAGGUAAAGGCUCACCAAGGCGACGAUCCUUAGCUGGUCUUAGAGGAUGAUCAGCCACACUGGGACUGAGACACGGCCCAGACUCCUACGGGAGGCAGCAGUGGGGAAUAUUGGACAAUGGGCGAAAGCCUGAUCCAGCAAUGCCGCGUGAGUGAUGAAGGCCUUAGGGUUGUAAAGCUCUUUUACCCGGGAUGAUAAUGACAGUACCGGGAGAAUAAGCUCCGGCUAACUCCGUGCCAGCAGCCGCCGUAAGAC